rnacentral:rRNA from 1 species
CUCUNUGGUCUGUCACUGACGCUGAGGCUCGAAAAGCGUGGGUAGCGAACAGGAUUAGAUACCCUGGUAGUCCACGCCGUAAACGAUGAGUGCUAGGUGUUAGNCCCUUUCCGGGGCUUAGUGCCGGAGCUAACGCAAUAAGCACUCCGCCUGGGGAGUACGACCGCAAGGUUGAAACCCAAAGGAAUUGACGGGGGCCCGCACAAGCGGUGGAGCAUGUGGUUUAAUUCGAAGCAACGCGAAGAACCUUACCAGGUCUUGACAUCCCGAUGCUAUUCUUAGAGAUAGGAAGUUACUUCGGUACAUCGGAGACAGGUGGUGCAUGGUUGUCGUCAGCUCGUGUCGUGAGAUGUUGGGUNNNNNNNNNNNNNNNNAGNGCAACCCUUAUUGUUAGUUGCCAUCAUUAAGUUGGGCACUCUAGCGAGACUGCCGGUAAUAAACCGGAGGAAGGUGGGGAUGACGUCAGAUCAUCAUGCCCCUUAUGACCUGGGCUACACACGUGCUACAAUGGUCGGUACAACGAGUUGCGAGCCGGUGACGGCAAGCUAAUCUCUGAAAGCCGAUCUCAGUUCGGAUUGGAGGC